AUUGAACGCUGGCGGCAGGCUUAACACAUGCAAGUCGAGCGAGCGGCGGACGGGUGGGUAAUGUCUGGGAAACUGACUGAUGGAUGGGGAUAACUACUGGAAACGGUGGCUAAUACCGCAUACAAUCAGAUCGGCCGAGCUGGGAUUAGCUAGUGGGUGGGGUAAUGGCUCACCUAGGCGACGAUCCCUAGCUGGUCUGAGAGGAUGACCAGCCACACUGGAACUGAGACACGGUCCAGACUCCUACGGGAGGCAGCAGUGGGGAAUAUUGGACAAUGGGCGAAAGCCUGAUGCAGCCAUGCCGCGUGUGUGAAGAAGGCCUUCGGGUUGUAAAGCACUUUCAGCGAGGAGGCGUUACUCGCAGAAGAAGCACCGGCUAACUCCGUGCCAGCAGCCGCGGUAAUAC
rnacentral:rRNA from 1 species